UACGGAGGAUCCAAGCGUUAUCCGGAACUACUGGGCGUAAAGAGUUGCGUAGGUGGCAUGGUAAGCGAAUAGUGAAAGCGUCCCGCUCAACGGGAUAAACAUUAUUUGAACUGCCAAGCUAGAGGAUGAGAGAGGUAGAUGGAAUUCCUAGUGUAGGGGUAAAAUCCGUUGAUAUUAGGAGGAACACCGAUGGCGUAGGCAGUCUACUGGCUCAUUUCUGACACUCAGGCACGAAAGCGUGGGGAGCAAACGGG
rnacentral:rRNA from 1 species